CCUACGGGUUGCAGCAGUGGGGAAUUUUCCGCAAAGGGCGAAAGCCUGACGGAGCAAUGCCGCGUGGAGGUAGAAGGCCCACGGGUCGUGAACUUCUUUUCCCGGAGAAGAAGCAAUGACGGUAACCGGAGAAGAAGCCCCGGCUAACUUCGUGCCAGCAGCCGCGGUAAUACGAAGGGGGCUAGCGUUGUUCGGAAUUACUGGGCGUAAAGCGCGCGUAGGCGGAUAGAUAAGUCAGAGGUGAAAUCCCGGGGCUCAACCCCGGAAUUGCCUUUGAUACUGUUUAUCUUGAGUGCAGAAGAGGUAAGUGGAAUUCCGAGUGUAGAGGUGAAAUUCGUAGAUAUUCGGAGGAACACCAGUGGCGAAGGCGGCUUACUGGUCUGCAACUGACGCUGAGGCGCGAAAGCGUGGGGAGCAAACAGGAUUAGAUACCCCCGUAGUC
rnacentral:rRNA from 1 species